rnacentral:tRNA from 1 species
GGCUGUUUUUUUUGUGUUUUGAAAGCAUAUUUUUAAGUAUUAGUUUUACUUAGUAGCUU